ACACAAGCAUCAAAUCAUUAUUUAAUCUAAUGUGUGUGUGUGUGUGUGUAUAUAUACACACCAUGUAAAUUAUUAAACUAAAUACAUAAUAAAAUAAAAUUGAACAAAAAAAAAAAAACAUGGCAAAUCAAGGUUUGAGAAAAGUGCAACAGAAUCCAUCAACCCUAUAAAGAAAAAAAGAAAGCUCCCUAAUGAAACAUGCAAUCCCCUACCAAAACAAACUAACAAAAUAAUAAUAACAUCUCCUUCUUUCUUUCCCUUCUUCCAAACCCCAUACUUCUUCCCUUCAUUGCUUUGACAUCCAUCCUCGUUAUCCUUCCCGUUUUGAUCCAAUCCUAAAAGUAACCACGAGUCACUCUCGAUAUAUACGUCUGGAGAGUAGAUCAUAUAUAUAUAUAUACACACAAUUAAGUCUAUAUAUUUAUGAAAAGUGUAGAUAGCUGUUGCUACUUUUCUUACUUGAAGGUCUUGCUUGGUGCUGUGGUCGUGGGGCUGUUUGUAUGGCUUUUAAUCCUCGGGUCAUCGCCGCCACCGGGGAGAACGAGAAGCUGGCGGGCGGCGGCUGAGUCUGAGGUCGAGGGAAGACAUGUCAUGAAGGAAGCUGAGGAUCAAUUGGCCAAUGACAAUAACCAUCCAAAGUUGUUGGAUCCUAACUUUAUGAGCAAAGUUAGAGUUCCUAAAGGACCAGACCCCAUUCAUAACAGGAGAAUUGGGGUGAAAGGAGGGCCUCCAAGGGGAGCUUAGGCUUUGUACACACAAAGGCAUAGAUUCCUUCCUCCACUUUUUCUUAACACACCACUUUAAAUAUUAAGGAUUAUUAUGAACAUUUUUUUUUCUUCUUUUUUUUUUUGGGUAAUUUCAAUAAGAAAAAAAAAUAUGGCUCUGAAUAAAUCUGGAUUGUAUAUAAUUGAUUCACACUCACUUUGUAGCUUUCUACAUAGAACAUUAAUUCUUCCUAAUUUUGUCUUGGGUUAGUUGUAUAAAUGGUAUUUAAACAAAAUAUAUAUAUAUAUAUAUAUAUAUAUAUAUAUAUAUAUAUAUAUAUAUAACACAAGAAUAAAAUAA